UACGUAGGGUGCGAGCGUUAAUCGGAAUUACUGGGCGUAAAGCGUGCGCAGGCGGCUUUGCAAGACAGAUGUGAAAUCCCCGGGCUCAACCUGGGAACUGCAUUUGUGACUGCAUGGCUAGAGUGCGGGAGAGGGGGAUGGAAUUCCAGGUGUAGCGGUGAAAUGCGUAGAUAUCUGGAGGAACACCGGUGGCGAAGGCGGCAUCCUGGGCCAACACUGGCGCUGAGUGAGCGAAAGCCAGGGGAGCAAACGGG
rnacentral:rRNA from 1 species